rnacentral:rRNA from 1 species
CGCGUAGGCGGGCAUUCAAGUCCGGGGUGAAAGCCCCCAGCUUAACUGGGAAGGGCCUUGGAAACUGGAUGUCUCGAGGGAGGUAGGGGCCUGUGGAACUUCGGGUGGAGCGGUGAAAUGCGUUGAUAUCCGAAGGAACGCCGGUGGCGAAAGCGACGGGCUGGACCUCUUCUGACGCUGAGGCGCGAAAGCCAGGGGAGCAAACG